rnacentral:rRNA from 1 species
GAUGAACGCUAGCGGCAGGCUUAACACAUGCAAGUCGAGGGGCAGCACGUCUUCGGAUGGUGGCGACCGGCGCACGGGUGCGUAACGCGUAUACAACCUACCUUAUAGAGGGGAAUAGCCCAGAGAAAUUUGGAUUAAUGCCCCAUAGUAUUAUUGAAUACCAUUAUUUAAUGAUUAAACAUUUAUGGCUAUAAGAUGGGUAUGCGUUCUAUUAGCUAGAUGGUAAGGUAACGGCUUACCAUGGCGACGAUAGAUAGGGGUCCUGAGAGGGAGAUCCCCCACACUGGUACUGAGACACGGACCAGACUCCUACGGGAGGCAGCAGUGAGGAAUAUAGGACAAUGGGCGAGAGCCUGAUCCAGCCAUGCCGCGUGCAGGAAGACGGCCCUAUGGGUUGUAAACUGCUUUUAUACGGGAAGAAACACUCCUUCGUGAAGGAGCUUGACGGUACCGUAAGAAUAAGGAUCGGCUAACUCCGUGCCAGCAGCCGCGGUAAUAC